ensembl:lncRNA
GGAAGAUGCAUGAACAAAAAGAAUUUCCUCACAAAUCUACAGAGAUUCACCAGGGAGAGGAUGGGAGGCAACAGUCUCAGAGUACUGCCACAAAAGCAAGAUACUUUUACUCUGCCGUCUGCUAUAACCUCUUCAGUUCAGCCCUUAUGGGACUUGAAAAGGAUGAGAGAGCGCUGUGAGAAGUGGAAAACUGUGUCCCGGCAGGUAGUGCAACAUGAAAAUUACAUUAGGGCAAAAUCAUUACAGCAUGUUUGGGGCCCGAUCUAUAGAUGGAAAUGAUGAAAUUGG